rnacentral:rRNA from 1 species
CCUACGGGUGGCUGCAGUGAGGAAUAUUGGUCAAUGGACGAGAGUCUGAACCAGCCAAGUAGCGUGAAGGAUGACUGCCCUAUGGGUUGUAAACUUCUUUUAUAAAGGAAUAAAACGAGGCACGUGUGCCUUUUUUCAUGUACUUUAUGAAUAAGGAUCGGCUAACUCCGUGCCCGCAGCCGCGGUAAUACGGAGGAUCCGAGCGUUAUCCGGAUUUAUUGGGUUUAAAGGGAGCGUAGAUGGGUUUUUAAGUAAGUUGUGAAAGUUUGCGGCUCAACCGUAAAAUUGCAAUUGAUACUGGCAGUCUUGAGUACAGUUGAGGUAGGCGGAAUUCGUGGUGUAGCGGUGAAAUGCUUAGAUAUCACGAAGAACCCCGAUUGCGAAGGCAGCUGACUAAACUGUGACUUACAUUGAUGCUCGAAAGUGUGGGUAUCAAACAGGAUUAGAUACCCGGGUAGUC